rnacentral:rRNA from 1 species
UACGUAGGGUGCAAGCGUUGUCCGGAAUUAUUGGGCGUAAAGAGCUCGUAGGCGGUUCGUCGCGUCGGCUGUGAAAACCUGAGGCUCAACCUCAGGCCUGCAGUCGAUACGGGCGGACUUGAGUACUGCAGGGGAGACUGGAAGUUCCUGGUGUAGCGGUGAAAUGCGCAGAUAUCAGGAGGAACACCGGUGGCGAAGGCGGGUCUCUGGGCCUUACCUGACGCUGAGGAGCGAAAGCGUGGGGAGCGAACAGG